rnacentral:tRNA from 1 species
GCAGAAGUACUCAAGCUGGUGACGAGGCGCCCCUGCUAAGGGCGUAGGGUGGGUAACCGCCGCGAGAGUUCGAGUCUCUCCUUCUGCGCCA